rnacentral:rRNA from 1 species
GAUGAACGCUGGCGGCGUGCCUAACACAUGCAAGUCGAGCGAACAGACGAGGAGCUUGCUCCUCUGACGUUAGCGGCGGACGGGUGAGUAACACGUGGAUAACCUACCUAUAAGACUGGGAUAACUUCGGGACACCGGCGCUAAUACCGGAUAAUCUAUUGAACCGUGUGGUUCGAUGGUGAAAUUCGGUGUUGCUGUCACUUAUCGCUGGAUACCCGCCGCAUUGGCUAGUUGGUAAGGUAACGGCUUUCCAAGGCGACGAUGCGUAUCCGAGCUGAGAGGGUGAUCGGCCACACUGGAGCUGAGACACGGUCCAGACUCCUGCGGGAGGCAGCAGACGCGAAUGUGCCGCAAUGGUCGAAAGCCUGACGGAGCAGCGCCGCGUGAGAGAUGACGGUCUUCGGAUCGUAAUGCUCGGUUAUGAGGGAAAAACAAAUGUGUACGGAACCAUGCACGGCUUGACGGUACCUAGUCAGAAAGCCACGGCUAACUACGUG